rnacentral:rRNA from 1 species
CCUACGGGAGGCAGCAGUGGGGAAUAUUGCACAAUGGGCGAAAGCCUGAUCCAGCCAUGCCGCGUGUGUGAAGAAAGUCUUCGGAUUGUAAAGCACUUUAAGUUGGGAGGAAGGGCAGUAAGUUAAUACCUUGCUGUUUUGACGUUACCGACAGAAUAAGCACCGGCUAACUUCGUG